CCGUAGUGCCCCGCGGGGCGCCGCAGCCGCCUCGGUGGGGGCGAAGGGGCGCUGGAGCUCCGCCCUCUGGGAGCCGUUAGCGAGAGCCGGCCGCGCUGCGGGCAGGAGGCGGCGGCGGCGGCUGUAGCCGUCGCCGCCGGGGGCGGUGGCCCUGCUGGGAGCCCUUCCCUGGGGUCGGGCGCGGUAGAGACCCCGGGCCCUGAGGAGAGCUACGCGCGCGGAACAGGGGUGAUGGGGCCGAGAGCGAGGGCGGCGGCGCGGCGGUGGUGACCGCGAAGAAGCCCGGAGGCCGGCCGCGCCCCGUCCCCGUCCCCGUCCCCGUCCCCGCCGGCGCCCCGGGCCGGCGGCAGCAGCGUUCGCAGCGGCGGCGGCGGCGCGGCAAGCGGGCCCGGGGGCGGCGGCGCGGGUGGUGGCCGUGGCGGCGGAGCAGCUCUUCCCGGCCGCGUGCGGGGCCCGGCGGGCGCUUCGCGGAGGCCCCCGCCCCGCGUCCUCCAGCCCGCGCAGCCCGGCUGCGGCAGCAGCGAAGGCGUCCCCGGCCGCGACGGUCCAUGGAGCUGGAGAACCUCGUGGCGAACUCGCUGCUGCUGAAGGCGCGCCUCGGAGGAUAUGGCAAAAAAAGUGGUCGUAGUAAAAAAUGGAGGGAGAUGCUGAAGCUGCCCCCUGUUAGCCAGUGCAACGAGCUUAGACAAUCCAUUGAAAAGGAUUACAGCAGUCUUUGCGACAAGCAGCCAAUAGGAAGGCUCCUCUUCCGGCAGUUCUGUAACACCCGGCACAGCCUGAAGCGGUGCAUUGAGUUCCUGGACUCGGUGGCAGAAUAUGAAGUCUCCCCUGACGAGGACCGAAGAGAGCGCGGACAGUUAGUCUUAAACACGUUCUUCAUUGAUGAGAACGCGGCAGCCCCUUUACCCCGGAUUUCUGCCCAUGCUGUGAGAGCGUGCAGGCUGCGACUGAAGGAGAUCCCCUCCAAAGAGCUGUUCAAGGAAUGUGUCAGCAGGUAUAACUGCACGCCAUCUUCUUCUAGAGUUGUCCAUCGCUAUUUAAGUGGAAAGCCAUUUGAAGAAUACCAAGAGAGCCCAUAUUUUUCUCGAUUUUUACAGUGGAAAUGGCUGGAAAGGCAGCCAGUAACAAAGAAAACAUUUAGACAUUACAGAGUCCUAGGAAAAGGCGGAUUUGGAGAGGUUUAUGCCUGUCAAGUGAGAGCUACAGGGAAAAUGUAUGCCUGCAAAAAGAUGCUAAAGAAAAGAAUCAAAAGGAGGAACGGCGAAGCCAUGGCCCUGAAUGAGAAAAGACUCCUGGAAAAAGUGCAAAGUAGAUUUGUAGUGAGCUUGUGCUACACGUACGAAACCAAAGACGCCCUGUGCUUGGUGCUCACCAUCAUGAACGGAGGGGACUUGAAGUUCCACAUCUACAACCUGGGCAGCCCCGGCAUUGACGAGCAGAGAGCGGUUUUCUACGCGGCAGAGCUGUGCUGUGGCCUGGAGGACCUGCAGAGGGAGCGGAUCGUGUACAGAGACUUAAAGCCUGAGAACAUUCUCCUCGACGACCGCGGACAUAUCCGGAUUUCAGAUCUUGGUUUAGCCAUGGAGGUCCCAGAAGGGGAGACAAUUCGAGGAAGAGUUGGAACAGUCGGCUACAUGGCUCCUGAAGUGAUCAAUAAUGAAGCCUAUACCUAUGGCCCCGACUGGUGGGGGCUUGGCUGUCUGCUCUAUGAGAUGAUUCAGGGACAUUCUCCAUUCAGAAAAUUCAAAGAGAAAGUCAAGCGGGAGGAGGUGGAGCGGCGCGUGAAGGAGGACACGGAGUUGUACUCGCAGCGGUUCUCGGAGGACGCGGAGUCCAUCUGCCGGAUGUUACUCACCAAGGACCCCAAGCAGCGCCUGGGCUGCCAGGGUGAUGGAGCAGCUGGUGUGCGAAAGCACCCCCUGUUCAAGAACAUUAACUUCAAGAGGCUGGAAGUACACAUGAUAGAGCCCCCGUUCUGCCCUGACCCGUGUGCGGUGUAUUGUAAGGACAUCAUGGACAUCGAGCAGUUCUCCACGGUGAGAGGCAUCUACCUGGACGCCGCCGACACCACCUUCUACAGCCAGUUUGUCACGGGCUCUGUCUCCAUCCCCUGGCAGAAUGAGAUGAUCGAGUCGGAAUGUUUCAAGGACAUCAACGAAAGUGAAAAUGAGGAGACUCGGGACUUGCAUCAGGGAGACAAAACCUGCCAACCAAAGCCAGCCCCCAAGCGAAAGAGAGGCUUCUUCCACAGACUCCUCAGCAGAUGGGGCUGCAUGAGUUAACCCUGGAGCCGCGAGGAGGAGCUGCCUGCGGGACUGUGCUGCUUGUGCAGAGCCAACCCCACCCCCAGGAGCCGGCUCAGUGUUCGUCCUCUCUGUGAAUUGCAAUAAACAGCUGGCUUGAAGAGGUCCCUCAAGGAUGGCUGUGACGUCCCAAAGCCCCUUGUGGCAGGGCUCAAGCUUCGUGUGCCCAUGGAGAGGGAGGAGCGGGGGCCUGGGCACCGCCUGGAGUGUCCCCUCCUCCAGGGCUCGCAGGGAGCGGCCGGUCGGGCCUUCGUGGUCCAGGGCACGGCGUGAGAGUCGCCUGUCUGCUUCCACGAUGUCACGAGGGUCUGCGUUCCUGAGGUGCGCCUCUCCCUGCGUGUGUGGGUCUGCGCUGCUUGCCAGACGCUCCGGCCCCUCCUGUGACAGAGGCUGCUUCCAGGACCCUGAGGUCAGGGCUUGGCUGUCGGGGGUGACUCACCAACCCUGGGUUGUGUUAAAGGGUUUCUGUGACAGCGGCCUGUGAUUGUGACCGCAGUGCCUCCAAGAAUGGGGGUCAGGUAACUGAGCCGAAGGUGAAAGACGGGGCCCAGGCGAGGCCAGGGCUCGGGCUGAUUGAAGGGAGAAGGGGCUCAUCCCCUGGGAUUAGGGAGGACGGUUCCCACGCGGAGCUCUGCACAGACCCCUCAGACUUGGCUGCGCUCUUACUGCGUGAGGGAUGGGCCUGGCCUGUGGAGCAGCGGGCUGUGCAGGGGUG